AUGACUUUAACCUUGAUGCGAGGUAAGUAGCUUAGUUUGAGCUUAAAGGUUGAAACAAUCAAAUUAAAGAGAGUCUCUACUUGUUGAUAUGUGUACUAGUAAGGGUAAGAUCUAUCCAAACUAAGAGAGGGUAAGGAUUAUAGUUGUUUAAACUCCUAACCUUAGAAAACACCCCAAGAUAAUUGAGUGAAAAUAAUAAGUUUGGGGGAUUUGUGUAUCUCUCGAGUGAUGUAAGGAUAAAUUUGACCAUUAUGGGUCGGGAACAAACCAUUCAUAAGCUUGAUAUGUUGGCAUGAGUUCACACACACACGUUGAGUAUUGCAACUGAUAAGUA
rnacentral:lncRNA from 1 species